UACGUAGGGUGCGAGCGUUGUCCGGAAUUAUUGGGCGUAAAGAGCUUGUAGGCGGUUUGUCGCGUCUGCUGUGAAAAUCCGGGGCUCAACCCCGGACUUGCAGUGGGUACGGGCAGAUUAGAGUGUGGUAGGGGAGACUGGAAUUCCUGGUGUAGCGGUGAAAUGCGCAGAUAUCAUGAGGAACACCGAUGGCGAAGGCAGGUCUCUGGGCCACUACUGACGCUGAGAAGCGAAAGCAUGGGGAGCGAACAGG
rnacentral:rRNA from 1 species